rnacentral:lncRNA from 1 species
CCCUGACAUUCUCCCCCACCUAACGCGCAGACGCCCUCGUCACGCGCUAAGCUGCUCCCGGUCUGCGUAGCCUUUCACACAGUCCGCUGUGCCUUCACGCACGAUUGGCCCCGAUCUUUGCUACCGCAGUCCGCCUUCACUUCCGCACCAGCUCCUAAUUCCUCGCCCCUCUGAGCGCGAACACCGGCUAACUCGCUACGCGAAAAAUUCGCCGA